CCUACGGGUGGCAGCAGUGAGGAAUAUUGGUCAAUGGGCGGAAGCCUGAACCAGCCAAGUAGCGUGCAGGAUGACGGCCCUACGGGUUGUAAACUGCUUUUAUACGGGAAUAACGCGCCUUACGUGUAGGGCUUUGCAUGUACCGUAUGAAUAAGGACCGGCUAAUUCCGUGCCAGCAGCCGCGGUAAUACGGAAGGUCCGGGCGUUAUCCGGAUUUAUUGGGUUUAAAGGGUGCGUAGGCGGACUGGAAAGUCAGCGGUAAAAUCUAGAGGCUCAACCUCUUUCCGCCGGUGAAACGGUCGGUCGUGGGUGGGCGAGAAGUAUGCGGAAUGGGUGGUGUAGCGGGGAAAGGCAUAGAUAGCACGCAGAACUCCGAUGGCGAGGCAGCAUACCGGCGCCCGACUGACGCUGAGGCACGAAAGCGUGGGUAUCGAACAGGAUUAGAUACCCCUGUAGUC
rnacentral:rRNA from 1 species